rnacentral:lncRNA from 1 species
UGAUGCUUGCUGUCAACUCUAUCCAUUCAAAAUCACUCGCCCAGGUCAUUACUCACCUAUCAGAAUACAUCUCUUCCUCUCUCCCAACUUCAUCUACUCCACCUCUACUGCACGGUCUUCUUCCUUGUUUGCCCCCUCCUGUAUUACUACUAUUCAUCCAUAUUGUCCUGCUCAGCACAGUACUCCCUCACUCCACACCACUCCCUCUUCCUCCUGCCCUCAUCCUUCUACUACUUGCAACUCUACAAACCUUUUGAGUAAUCUAUUUAACUUAGCCAAGUGGGAACGAUUCUUUGUGAUUCCCCCACAGCCACUUACUCCUCUUCCAACAAUGUCUCCAAGAACAAGUAGGCAAAGUUUCAACAUCUGAGUUCCAAGCUAGUGCAUUAUCUACCCUGACUGAUCUCACUGACAAACCUAUUCCUUCUCAACCUCACUCCUCCCUUAAUACUUGUACCAUCUCCCUAGCUGACAGCCCUGUCUAUGACAAGGACUGGUCAGACUGUGAAAAUGACCUGCAUACCUUCCUCAUUGACUGUGAUGCAGUGGCAGUACAGUAAGAACUGGAAAUUCUACACCAAUAUUAGCAAGAUUAGCUUCUGUAGACAUGACUUCCCUCAUGAAGUUUAUGUUGGUGAUGUGUCUUGUCAUGUCCAACCAUACUGAUCCCUCCCUUGUCAGUGUCAGAAAAGUUGGUGUUUUGGUCAUCCUGCCAAAUCGCUCCACAUUCCACUGCCCUCCCAACCAGGUAAUGACUGUUCAAAUUACUUGCACAGUCAUGCAUGUUUGCCAGAUGAGGUGCUCCCAUAGUGAAUUUUAUAGGAGUUGCCCUGCCUACAAGCUUGAAUCUCCGGUAGCAGUUCUCAGAUUCAACUAGACUCACUCUAUGUGAGGCCAGACAGGAAGCACACUGAGGUUUUUCUCUCUACCUAUUCUGACACUGUCCUUCACUCUGCUCCUCUCCAUCUUCUUUAGAUGUUUCAUCAUCUACCCCAGUAUCCCAUCCCUCUACCCCUUACCAUCCUACCUCUACUCUCUCUAAUCCCAGUCAAAUUCCUUUUCCACUCUAAAUCCAGAUACUCCAAUCUCUACCACUUCCCUAGUGCCUACCCCUUCUCCUUCUCACUUGUUGCAUCAGGUAGUAUAAAUGUUCCACCCCAUCUUCUCCUACCACAUCCUUUCCUACACCCACAUUUUCCUCUACUCCUUGGACAUCUGUCCCCUCUUCUCAUCCUCAUAAGAAAGCCUUUGUUUCUCAGACCUCCCCACCCAAUUCCCCUUCAGAAACUCUUGAAGAUAUCCCAAGAGAAGAUGGCCAAGAAAAUGCUCCCCUCUCUCAUUCACCUUCCAAUUUCUUAAUUCCCAUUCCCUCUACAUUCAAAGUAAUUGCUGAUAUCCACCUAUCCUGCUCCUCAUAUUCCCCCUACCCUUUUUGCUCCCACUCUCUCCCAACACACCCUAUCCUCCCUUUCUCCAUGUGCACAAUCCCUUGUUCUUUCCCUAUUAUCCCUACUGCUCCCACCAGGAUCUUAUGACUCCCAUAUGUCAUCUGGACCCUUCCCAUCCUGACAUUCAACCUGAUACUUCACCACUUUCCCCUGUUCCCUGGAUUCUUCUCAUCCUACCUCUCCAACACCCAUUUCUAAACUUAUUCCCACUGAUUGCUUGAUAAUGGCUCUUUUAUAGUUAUCUUUAUACAAUGUUCUCUUCUUUCCUCAGACACAUAGAUACUCUCCAUUUGAUCUAAUCACCCUAUUCAUUCAACCCCUUCCCCCUUUUACUAAUCCCCAUCUUCCUCCAUUUGUUUGCCCCGCUUUACCCUUCUCACAACCGUACUAUCCUAUAGUGCUGUACAACCUUUGACAUGUGACACAUUUUAUCCUAAUCAUUAACUGAUUUUUACACUUUUUGUCACGAUACUUUAACAUUGUGCUAUAUGACCUUUGAUGUCUAGCACAUUUACUUGUUUUAACCAUUAACUAUUAGCACUUAAGAUAUGCAUGGGUAAUCCCAAACAUAAUUUUUCAUUAAAUACCCAUCUCCAGAAAGUAUAGAAAAAAUACCUCUUGAUAGGAGAAAAUUAUAAUACCUCAUCAAUACAUCUUAAGGUCACCAGUGGUGUUAGAACCCUAUUUACUAAGAUUAAUAUCAAUGUUGCUGACUUUACCAGUUGCAAAUGUAAGUGCUUAGCAUUUUUUUAUCCCUUCUCUCCACAGCUAACCGGACAUCCUAACCCCUCUAUGUGGAUAAGUAAUUUUACAGUUACUUCAGUCAAGCCUUAUUAAGGGUUCCCAAGCUCUUUGCUGCCAUUCAUUUGAGUGAAGAUCAACUAUAGCUUGGAUGUGUUCAGCUGGAGUGUGCCUUGUACACCAAACAUGAGAUUGAUAAUAUUACUUGAACUUUUUAGCCUG